CUUGUGGACUAUCAUAUCAACCAUAGUAGAGUACUUGUGUCGAGGUGGGAUAGGAUGAAGCAAGAA
ncrna:unclassified sequences RAGATH-18 RNA